AGAGUUUGAUCCUGGCUCAGGACGAACGCUGGCGGCAUGCUUAACACAUGCAAGUCAAGGGGUAGCAAUACCACUGGCGCACGGGUGAGUAACACGUAGGUAAUCUGCCCCCAUCACAGACAUAACCCCGGGAAACCGGGGCUAAUAUCUGAUGAGGCCGAGAGGUCAAAGCUUUAUGCGGAUGGGGAUGAGCCUGCGGCUGAUUAGCUAGUUGGUGAGGUAAUGGCUCACCAAGGCGACGAUCAGUAGCUGGUCUGAGAGGACGAACAGCCACACUGGAACUGAGACACGGUCCAGACUCCUACGGGAGGCAGCAGUGAGGAAUAUUGGUCAAUGGGCGAGAGCCUGAACCAGCAAUGCCGCGUGUGGGAUGACAGGGCUUCGCCUUGUAAACCACUGUCGGACGGGACGAAAAGAGGUAAGAACCUCUGGGACGGUACCGUCAAAGGAAGGGUCGGCUAACUACGUGCCAGCAGCCGCGGUAAUACGUAGGACCCGAGCGUUGUCCGGAUUUACUGGGUAUAAAGGGUGCGUAGGCGGUCUUGUGCGUCAGAGGUGAAAUCUCCGGGCUUAACCCGGAGGGUGCCUUUGAUACGGCAGGACUUGAGUGCGGGAGAGGGUGAUGGAAUUCCUGGUGUAGCGGUGAAAUGCGUAGAUAUCAGGAGGAACACCGGUGGCGAAGGCGGUCACCUGGCCCGUAACUGACGCUGAGGCACGAAAGCGUGGGGAUCAAACAGGAUUAGAUACCCUGGUAGUCCACGCCCUAAACGAUGUAUGCUUGGUGUUGGGUCCGCAAGGACUCAGUGCCGUAGGGAAUCUGAUAAGCAUACCACCUGGGGAGUACGAUCGCAAGGUUGAAACUCAAAGGAAUUGACGGGGGCCCGCACAAGCGGUGGAUCAUGUGGUUUAAUUCGAUGCAACGCGAAGAACCUUACCCGGGCUUGAAGUGCAGGUAGUAAAGAGAUGAAAGUCGAAUGACCCGUCAAGUCGGAUGCCUGCAGAGGUGCUGCAUGGCUGUCGUCAGCUCGUGCCGUGAGGUGUUGGGUUAAGUCCCGCAACGAGCGCAACCC
rnacentral:rRNA from 1 species